AACGAACGCUGGCGGCAGGCUUAACACAUGCAAGUCGAACGCAUCCUUGGGGGUGAGUGGCAGACGGGUGAGUAACGCGUGGGAACGUGCCCUUCAGUUCGGGAUAACCCAGGGAAACUUGGGCUAAUACCGGAUACGUGCGAGAGCAGAAAGAUUUAUCGCUGAAGGAUCGGCCCGCGUCUGAUUAGCGAGUUGGUGGGGUAAUGGCCCACCAAGGCGACGCUGAGUAGCUGGUCUGAGAGGAUGAUCAGCCACAUUGGGACUGAGACACGGCCCAAACUCCUACGGGAGGCAGCAGUGGGGAAUAUUGGACGAUGGGCGCAAGCCUGAUCCAGCCAUGCCGCGUGAGUGAUGAAGGCCUUAGGGUUGUAAAGCUCUUUCGUCCGGGACGAUAAUGACGGUACCGGAAGAAGAAGCCCCGGCUAACUUCGUGCCAGCCGCCGCUGUAA
rnacentral:rRNA from 1 species